rnacentral:rRNA from 1 species
ACGAACGCUGGCGGCAGGCCUAAUACAUGCAAGUCGAACGCCGUAGCAAUACGGAGUGGCAGACGGGUGAGUAACACGUGGGAACGUGCCCAAAGGUACGGAACAACUCCGGGAAACUGGAGCUAAUACCGUAUGUGCCCGAGAGGGGAAAGAUUCAUCGCCUUUGGAUCGGCCCGCGUCUGAUUAGCUAGUUGGCGGGGUAAUGGCCCACCAAGGCGACGAUCAGUAGCUGGUCUGAGAGGAUGACCAGCCACACUGGGACUGAGACACGGCCCAGACUCCUACGGGAGGCAGCAGUAGGGAAUAUUGGACAAUGGGCGAAAGCCUGAUCCAGCCAUGCCGCGUGAGUGAUGAAGGCCUUAGGGUUGUAAAGCUCUUUCGCCAGGGACGAUAAUGACGGUACCUGGAUAAGAAGCCCCGGCUAACUUCGUGCCAGCAGCCGCGGUAAUACGAAGGGGGCUAGCGUUGUUCGGAAUUACUGGGCGUAAAGCGUAUGCAGGCGGAUCGCUAAGUCAGGGGUGAAAUCCCGAGGCUCAACCUCGGAACUGCCUUUGAUACUGACGAUCUUGAGUCCGGGAGAGGUGAGUGGAACUGCGAGUGUAGAGGUGAAACUCGUAGAUAUUCGCAAGAACACCAGUGGCGAAGGCGGCUCACUGGCCCGGUACUGACGCUGAGA